rfam:Trichuris trichiura, WGS project CBXK01000000 data, contig: TTRE_1759
UUAAGUGAUGAUAGCCUAGGAGAUACACCUGUUCCCAUGCCGAACACAGCAGUUAAGCCCUAGAACGCCUGAAGUAGUUGGGGGUUGCCCCCUGUUAGAUAUGGUAGUCGCUUAGC